GUGGCCUUAGCUCAGUUGGUAGAGCACCUGACUGUUAAUCAGGUUGUCGCUGGUUCGAGUCCAGCAGCUACG
rnacentral:tRNA from 1 species